rnacentral:rRNA from 1 species
UACGGGGGGGGCAAGCGUUGUUCGGAAUUACUGGGCGUAAAGCGCGCGUAGGCGGCUUUUCAAGUCAGACGUGAAAGCCCCAGGCUUAACCUGGGAAUUGCGUUUGAUACUGUUAGGCUAGAGUGUGGAAGGGGCUACUGGAAUUCCGUGUGUAGCGGCGAAAUGCGUAGAUAUACGGAGGAACACCAGCGGCGAAGGCGGGUAGCUGGGCCAACACUGACGCUGAUGCGCGAAAGCUAGGGUAGCAAACGGG